UACGAAGGGGGCUAGCGUUGCUCGGAAUUACUGGGCGUAAAGCGCACGUAGGCGGAUUCUUAAGUCAGGGGUGAAAUCCCGGAGCUCAACUCCGGAACUGCCUUUGAUACUGAGAGUCUCGAGUCCGGGAGAGGUGAGUGGAACUCCGAGUGUAGAGGUGAAAUGCGCAGAUAUCAGGAAGAACACCCGUGGCGAAGGCGGCUCUCUGGGACGGUACUGACGCUGAGACGCGAAAGCGUGGGGAGCGAACAGG
rnacentral:rRNA from 1 species